GAUGAAGAACGCAGCGAAAUGCGAUAAGUAAUGUGAAUUGCAGAAUUCAGUGAAUCAUCGAAUCUUUGAACGCACAUUGCGCCCGCCAGCAUUCUGGCGGGCAUGCCUGUUCGAGCGUCAUUUCAACCCUCAAGCUCUGCUUGGUGUUGGGGCCCUACGGUUGACGUAGGCCCUUAAAGGUAGUGGCGGACCCUCUCGGAGCCUCCUUUGCGUAGUAACUAACGUCUCGCAUUGGAAUUCGGAGGGACUCUUGCCGUAAAACCCCCAAAUUUUCUAAUGGUUGACCUCGGAUCAGGUAGGAAUACCCGCUGAACUUAAGCAUAUCAAUAAGCGGAGGA
rnacentral:misc_RNA from 1 species